GACACGCUGGCAGCGUGCUUAAUACAUGCAAGUCGAGCGAGGUUACUGGAGUGGAGCCCUUCGGGGUGAAGCUGCUUUAACCUAGCGGCGGACGGGUGAGUAACGCGUGGGUAACCUACCCCAAAGCCCGGGAUAACAGCGGGAAACCGCUGCUAAUACCGGAUGACCUUACCUUGGGGCAUCUUGAGGUAAAGAAAGGUUAACGCUUUGGGAUGGGCCCGCGUCCCAUUAGCUAGUUGGUGAGGUAACGGCUCACCAAGGCGACGAUGGGUAGCCGGCCUGAGAGGGUGGACGGCCACACUGGGACUGAGACACGGCCCAGACUCCUACGGGAGGCAGCAGUAGGGAAUAUUGCGCAAUGGACGGAAGUCUGACGCAGCGACGCCGCGUGAGCGAUGAAGGCCUUCGGGUCGUAAAGCUCUGUCCUUGGGGAAGAAGGUCUUCGGACUUGACGGUACCCAAGAAGAAAGCCCCGGCUAACUACGUG
rnacentral:rRNA from 1 species